rnacentral:lncRNA from 1 species
GAUUUAUUUAGAGUACAAUUUUUUUAGAAUGGCAACUUGAUUGUUGAUGAUUCGUAUAUUCGUAGCUUGGUAUGGUUGAAAAGCUUUCAAUAAUUUGAUGUAUGGUGGUGCAAGUGUUUAGACUCUUGUUUAGUGAUUUGAGGGAUGAGUCAUUAUAGCCGAUGCUAUUAUUGUCUCUAUCAAUGGGUUUCGUCAUGAGAUAUCUGAUCUUACCA